GAUGAACGCUGGCGGCGUGCCUAAUACAUGCAAGUCGAGCGAACAGACGAGGAGCUUGCUCCUCUGACGUUAGCGGCGGACGGGUGAGUAACACGUGGAUAACCUACCUAUAAGACUGGGAUAACUUCGGGACACCGGAGCUAAUACCGGAUAAUAUAUUGAACCGCAUGGUUCAAUAGUGAAAGACGGUUUUGCUGUCACUUAUAGAUGGAUCCGCGCCGCAUUAGCUAGUUGGUAAGGUAACGGCUUACCAAGGCAACGAUGCGUAGCCGACCUGAGAGGGGGAUCGGCCACACGGGAACUGAGACACGGUCCAGACUCCUACGGGAGGCAGCAGUAGGGAAUCUGCCGCAAUGGGCGAAAGCCUGACGGAGCAACGCCGCGUGAGUGAUGAAGGUCUUCGGAUCGUAAAACUCUGUUAUUAGGGAAGAACAAAUGUGUAAGUAACUAUGCACGUCUUGACGGUACCUAAUCAGAAAGCCACGGCUAACUACGUG
rnacentral:rRNA from 1 species